rnacentral:rRNA from 1 species
AUUGAACGCUGGCGGCAGGCCUAACACAUGCAAGUCGAGCGAGCGGCGGGCGGGUGAGUAAUGUAUGGGGAUCUGCCCGAUAGAGGGGGAUAACUACUGGAAACGGUGGCUAAUACCGCAUAAUAUCGGAAGAACCCAUAUGGGAGUAGCUAGUAGGGUGGGUAAAGGCUCUCCUAGGCGACGACGCCUAGCUGGUCUGAGAGGAUGAACAGCCACACUGGGACCGAGACACUGCCCAGACUCCUCAGGGAGGCAGGAGUGGGGAAUAUUGGACAAUGGGGGCAAGCCGGAUGCAGCCAUGCCGGGUGUAGGAAGAAGGCCUUGGGGUUGGGAAGUCCUUUCAGCGGGGGGGAGGUACCCGCAGGAGAAGCAACGGCUAACUCCGUGCCAGCAGCCGGGGGAAUUA